UUACUCCUAUAGUUAAAUAUUUUUGUUUUGUAGGCAAAACAGGUUUCAAUGGUUUUUACCCCUUCUUGUGGGUGAAUUACCCCACUGUGUAAUUAUUAAAUUUAGGAGGUGUACUUUAGUUUUCCUCUUAUACAGCAGACUAAGUUAGUAAGUUUCUGCUGUGUUAGGUUUAUGAAUAGAGAGUAGCCAAGAAGCAUUAUUACUAUAAUGCUGGGAGGGUUUUAAGUGUGAGAUGUGUUUCCAAUGAUUAUUUUAACAUUUUAAAGGUUUUUCUUUCUUUAAAAAGAAAAUCAUGUACAAAUACAGGGUUACGUAUGAACAACCCUGUGUUUUACUAGCAUUAAACAACAAGUAGCCCUGUGGAUCUUACCAAUAGGUGUUUAAGUAUUCUGUGAUAGCAUGCCUUUUAUUUAGACAAGUUAGCUUUGAGACCAGUGUGUUUAAAACCAUCUUGAAAUUUUUCCAUAUGCUUUCCAAUCCUUUUUGUUCUGAUCUCAGGUAGUUUGCUAAUCAAACUAUCUAUUUACCUGCAAACCUUCUUUGUGCUGCCAGCUAGGGCAUUUGCACCACAGACACUUUCUGGCUUGCUUUUAGAUUAAAAGCUGUUUGUAGCUUUGUCUUAAAAAGGGACACAAUAACUUUUGCCAGAGAUUUACAGUUUUGAGUUUUUACUUUAAGUUCUGCUUUCUCACACAGCAACCUGAAAAGGAAAUUACAACCUGUUGUGGCUCCUGGAGCCUUCACAGGAUUUUGAUUUGUUUCCAGUUUUUACCUCCUUCUACAAUAUACAUUGCAUGUCACAGGAAAAUGUGCAUUCUUUGUUUAUAAUGUUAUUUAGCCAUAUUAAUUUUUGCAUCGGGUGUAACUAUUUGUUUUAUGCUUACUGAGUUUUCCUAUACUUUUAUUAAACAACUUGGUAUGAAAUGGCUUUACUAAAAACAAAACAAACCAAUUUGUUUUAAGCAUACAAAACAGUUUACUAACCUACAAAACAGGAGUUCUGGAUCUUAAAAACCUUACCUACUAUUUACACUGUAUUUACACACAGAUACAUGCAUAUAUUCUCUGAAUAUUUCUAACACUAUUUUUACAUACCUGUACAAAGAUUACAUUCACUUUUAUUCAUUUGGGGGUACUUAAGUUCCCAAUAGAACCCCCUUGAAGUUUUUUAGUUAAAUUUGCCUGGAUUAUUUACAGACACUCUUUUGGAAAAGGGCCCCUUUUUCCUUCAGAAUGGCUGCAAAGAAACCAAGAAUUCUUUUCCUAUAACAUUUUAGCAUUUUCACAACUGCUCAAUUCCUUCCAUACUCUGUAGAGUUAACUUUUCUGUGGGUUUUUUUUUUUUCUUUCUUUCUUAAAACACUUUAUUUCUUAAAAUGAAAACUGGCCUUGCUUCAGAUAUUACUUCUUGUAAGUAUUGUUUUAAGAA